rnacentral:rRNA from 1 species
CAAUAGCGUAUAUUAAAGUUGUUGCAGUUAAAAGCUCGUAGUCGGAUUUCGGGUCGGGCCGAGCGGUCUGCCGAUGGGUAUGCACUGUUUGGCGCGGCCUUCUUUCCGGAGACCGCGGCUACUCUUAACUGAGCGGGCGUGGGAGACGGAUCGUUUACUUUGAAAAAUCAGAGUGUUUCUAGCAGGCAGCUCGCUCUUGCAUAGGUUAGCAUGGGAUAAUUUAAUAGGACUCUGGUGCUAUUUUGUUGGUUUUCGGAAGUCGAGGUAAUGAUUAAGAGGGACAGACGGGGGCAUUCGUACUGGGCCGCCAGAGGUGAAAUUCUUUAACUGGCUCAUGACGAACCACUGCGAAAGCAUUUGCCAAGAAUGUUUUCAUUAAUCAAGAACGAAAGUCAGAGGGUCGAAGACGAUCAGAUACCA